rnacentral:rRNA from 1 species
UGGGGAAUAUUGGACAAUGGGGGAAACCCUGAUCCAGCGACGCCGCGUGUGUGAAGAAGGCCUGCGGGUUGUAAAGCACUUUUAGUGGGGAUGAAAAGCUCAGGGCUAACACCUCUGGGUCUUGACCUAACCCAAAGAAAAAGCACCGGCUAACUCUGUGCCAGCAGCCGCGGUAAUACAGAGGGUGCAAGCGUUAAUCGGAAUUACUGGGCGUAAAGCGUGCGUAGACGGUUGUUUAAGUCGGAUGUGAAAUCCCCGGGCUCAACCUGGGAAUUGCAUUCGAGACUGAACAGCUAGGGUGCGGAAGAGGGAAGCGGAAUUUCCGGUGUAGCAGUGAAAUGCGUAGAUAUCGGAAGGAACAUCAGUGGCGAAAGCGGCUUCCUGGUCCAGCACCGACGUUCAGGCACGAAAGCGUGGGGAGCAAACAGG